rnacentral:rRNA from 1 species
AUUGAACGCUGGCGGCAGGCCUAACACAUGCAAGUCGAACGGAAACAGGAAGAAGCUUGCUUAUUUGCUGACGAGUGGCGGACGGGUGAGUAAUGUCUGGGAACCUGCCUGAUGGAGGGGGAUAACUACUGGAAACGGUAGCUAACACCGCAUAACGUCGCAAGACCAAAGAGGGGGAGAUUCGGGCAUCUUGUCAUCGGAUGUGCCCAGCUGGGAUUAGUUAGUAGGUGGGGUAACGGUUCACCUAGGCGACGAUCCCUAGCUGGUCUGAGAGGAUGACCCGCCACACUGGAACGGAGAAGCGGCCCAGACUCCUACGGGAGGCAGCAGAUGGGAAUUGGGCACAAUGGGGGCAAGCCUGACGCAGCCAAGCCGCGUGUAUGACAAAGGCCUUGGGUUUGUAAAGAACGUUCGGCGGGGAGGAAGGGAGUAAACGUAAUACGUUUUCUCAUUGACGUUAACCGCAGAAGAAGCACCGGCUAACUCCGUG